CUCAUCCAGAGACCCAAAGCCAAAACUCAGCUGACAGGAAUGUUUCAAAGGACACAAAGAGAUAUGUGGACUCAAAGUCACCGGGGAUGCCUUUAUUUGAAGCAGAGGAAGGAGUUCUAUCACGAACCCAGAUAUUUCCUACCACUAUUAAAGUCAUUGAUCCAGAAUUUCUGGAGGAGCCACCUGCACUUGCAUUUUUAUAUAAGGAUCUGUAUGAAGAAGCAGUUGGAGAGAAAAAGAAGGAAGAGGAGACAGCUUCUGAAGGUGACAGUGUGAAUUCUGAGGCAUCAUUUCCCAGCAGAAAUUCUGACACUGAUGAUGGAACAGGAAUAUAUUUCGAGAAGUACAUACUCAAAGAUGACAUUCUCCAUGACACAUCUCUAACUCAAAAGGACCAGGGCCAAGGUCUGGAAGAAAAACGAGUUGGUAAGGAUGAUUCAUACCAACCGAUAGCUGCAGAAGGGGAAAUUUGGGGAAAGUUUGGAACUAUUUGCAGGGAGAAGAGUCUGGAAGAACAGAAAGGUGUUUAUGGGGAAGGAGAAUCAGUAGACCAUGUGGAGACCAUUGGUAACGUAGCGAUGCAGAAGAAAGCUCCCAUCACAGAGGACGUCAGAGUGGCUACCCAGAAAAUAAGUUAUGCGGUUCCAUUUGAAGACAACCAUCAUGUUCUGGAGCGUGCAGAUGAAGCAGGCAGUCAGGGUAAUGAAGUCGGAAAUGCAAGUCCAGAGGUCAACCUGAAUGUCCCAGUACAAGUGUCCUUCCCGGAGGAAGAAUUUGCAUCUGGUGCAACUCAUGUUCAAGAAACAUCACUAGAAGAACCUAAAAUCCUGGUCCCACCUGAGCCAAGUGAAGAGAGGCUCCGUAAUAGCCCUGUUCAGGAUGAGUAUGAAUUUACAGAAUCCCUGCAUAAUGAAGUGCUUCCUCAAGACAUAUUAUCAGAAGAACUGUCUUCAGAAUCCACACCUGAAGAUGUCUUAUCUCAAGGAAAGGAAUCCUUUGAGCACAUCAGUGAAAAUGAAUUUGCGAGUGAGGCAGAACAAAGUACAUCUGCUGAACAAAAAGAGUUGGGCAGCGAGAGGAAAGAAGAAGACCAAUUAUCAUCUGAGGUAGUAACUGAAAAGGCACAAAAAGAGCUGAAAAAGUCCCAGAUUGACACAUACUGUUACACCUGCAAAUGUCCAAUUUCUGCCACUGACAAGGUGUUUGGCACCCACAAAGACCAUGAAGUUUCAACGCUUGACACAGCUAUAAGUGCUGUAAAGGUUCAAUUAGCAGAAUUUCUAGAAAAUUUACAAGAAAAGUCCUUGAGGAUUGAAGCCUUUGUUAGUGAGAUAGAAUCCUUUUUUAAUACCAUUGAGGAAAACUGUAGUAAAAAUGAGAAAAGGCUAGAAGAACAGAAUGAGGAAAUGAUGAAGAAGGUUUUAGCACAGUAUGAUGAGAAAGCCCAGAGCUUUGAGGAAGUGAAGAAGAAGAAGAUGGAGUUCCUGCAUGAGCAGAUGGUCCACUUUCUGCAGAGCAUGGACACUGCCAAGGACACCCUGGAGACCAUCGUGAGAGAAGCAGAGGAGCUUGAUGAGGCCGUCUUCCUGACUUCGUUUGAGGAAAUCAAUGAAAGGUUGCUUUCUGCAAUGGAGAGCACUGCUUCUUUAGAGAAAAUGCCUGCUGCGUUUUCCCUUUUUGAACAUUAUGAUGACAGCUUGGCAAGAAGUGACCAGAUGUUAAAACAAGUGGCUGUUCCACAGCCUCCUAGAUUAGAACCUCAGGAACCAAAUUCUGCCACCAGCACAACAAUUGCAGUUUACUGGAGCAUGAACAAGGAAGAUGUCAUUGAUUCAUUUCAGGUUUACUGCAUGGAGGAGCCACAAGAUGAUCAAGAAGUAAAUGAGUUGGUAGAAGAAUACAGACUGACAGUGAAAGAAAGCUACUGCAUUUUUGAAGAUCUGGAACCUGACCGAUGCUAUCAAGUGUGGGUGAUGGCUGUGAACUUCACUGGAUGUAGCCUGCCCAGUGAAAGGGCCAUCUUUAGGACAGGUAAGGAGAUGGAUGCUAAGGGUGCGUUAGAAGACAACGCUCAGUUCUUCACAGACUCUUGAGAUCAGCCAGUAAGUGUUUAUUAAGCACCUAUUGUGUGUUGAGUGUUGUGCAAAGUGCUGGUUAUACAAUGAUGACUUAAGCCUGGGGUCCUGUUCUCAAGAAGCUCAUGCUCAGGUGGGGAGAUGGAAAAACAGAGGAUCAUAGAAAAUGUGUGGUAAGGGCCAUAUCCAGAUAUACACAGGUUAUUAUGAGAACACUCCAGAGGGGCACCCAAGUUGGCCUGGGGCAGGGGCAGGAUCGGAACUGCUUCCUAGAACUGAUGCCUGCAGAAAAUGCUUUAAAGGAUCAAUAGGAAGUAAUGCAUUAAAGGAGGAUAUUCCACUUGAAAAAGACAUGAGCAGAGGCAUCAAGGCAAGAAACAGUAUGGAGUGUGCAGGACACUGUAAGAAGUUUGGUAUUAUUUCUUAGACUUAAACAAAGGAAAGACAAGAUAAGAAAGGCUAACAUAGAGAGGCCGUGUUUGCAAGGUAAGAAGCUUGGGCUGCGUGUGGGUGCUGGGAACCCCCAAAAGGCUUUAAGCCAGUGGUAUUUAACUGGAAAUGCAUUCUCACGAUGAAAUCUUUUCACAGGGUAAGAAGCCUAAACCAAGGCUGCACUGCCUUUAAGAUAAUCGUAACCUGCCUCAGGGGAAGAAAUAGUUUACUCCUACCCUUUAUCCUUUCCUCUUGCCUUUUAAAACAAGCCUUUAUUGAGCACCUACUGAGGACAAGAUCAUGGCUAACUUGUGUGUACUGGGACAGGGGAAAGAAUCUUUAUUUUGAUUUGCUUGUAUAUGUAUAAAGAAAGUCUAGUGGGAUUUAUAGGAAGCUGCUAUUAGGGGCUGUUUGGGGAUGGGUGAGAACUGGGCAAUGUGGAAGGCAGAGAAGGGAGAGAGACAUCACCAUCUAUAUUUGAUCCCUUUUGGGUUUUUAACACAGAAUACACUUUCUGAUGAAAAAUUGAAAACAGAAUCAUGCCGAAGCCGUGGAAGAUCACGUGCUUCUCAGGUCCCAGGAAAGCAAGCUGGCAUUGCUCCACGACUGUCCUGACUCUCUUUCUGCAGCACCCUCCACCCCUGUGAUCCGCGCUGAGGACUGUACUGUGUGUUGGAACACAGCCACUAUCCGAUGGCGGCCCACCACCCCAGAGGCCACGGAGACCUACACUCUGGAGUACUGCAGACAGCACUCUCCUGAGGGAGAGGGCCUCAGAUCUUUCUCUGGAAUCAAAGGACUCCAGCUGAAAGUUAACCUCCAACCCAAUGAUAACUACUUUUUCUAUGUGAGGGCCAUCAAUGCAUUUGGGACAAGUGAACAGAGUGAAGCUGCUCUCAUCUCCACCAGAGGAACCAGAUUUCUCUUGUUGAGAGAAACAGCUCAUCCUGCUCUACACAUUUCCUCAAGUGGGACAGUGAUCAGCUUUGGUGAGAGGAGACGGCUGACGGAAAUCCCGUCAGUGCUGGGUGAGGAGCUGCCUUCCUGUGGCCAGCAUUACUGGGAAACCACAGUCACAGACUGCCCAGCAUAUCGACUCGGCAUCUGCUCCAGCUCGGCUGUGCAGGCAGGUGCCUUAGGACAAGGGGAGACCUCAUGGUACAUGCACUGCUCUGAGCCACAGAGAUACACAUUUUUCUACAGUGGUAUUGUGAGUGAUGUUCACGUGACUGAGCGUCCAGCCAGAGUGGGCAUCCUGCUGGACUACAACAACCAGAGACUUAUCUUCAUCAACGCAGAGAGUGAGCAGUUGCUCUUCAUCGUCAGGCACAGGUUUAAUGAGGGUGUCCACCCUGCCUUUGCCCUGGAGAAACCUGGAAAAUGUACUUUGCACCUGGGGAUAGAGCCCCCGGAUUCUGUAAGGCACAAGUGAUCCUUGGCUUUCAGAAUUUGCAAGAGCAGCGAUUUAAAUUUUGGGGGGGUCUGCUGUUCAUUCCUUUGGGUGCUAUACAUUAUUCAAAAAGUCUCCCACACAUUUGCACUAAUGAUGGCUGCAUGCGUAGCAAUCAGCACGUGAGCAAAAUCAACAAGAAAACCUUGACUUUACAGAGCAGUGUGUGAGUAAACAGAAUGAAAACAACAACCUCCACUCUUUAGUUUAUAUAAGUUUGAGUUCUUUCCUAAAUUAAAAGAUCUACACUUGAGUUGGGAACCAAAAGAGAAAAAUGGACUUCCAUCUGUUUUACUGGUAAAGGAAAUCCUCUGAUGGACAGGUCAGAGUGAAGGAAGGUUGUGCUGGUAAGACAUCUCUGACGAAGAGCCAUGGAUGCUUUCCACAAAAUGUCACCUCGCUGCACUAAAGGAUGAUGAAUCCUAAUCAUUAAAGGAAUUGUUUCAGCUGAUUUAAAUUUAUAAUGAACUCUUUUGUAAUAAUGUAUACUGUAGAACAUGAGUCUCUCCUCCCUAAAAUUUUAAAUGUAGAAAAGUGCUAUAUAUUAGAAAUUUCCAUUUUGUUAAAUAAAUGGUUAGAGCCUAUAAAGCCAGUCGUGUUAUGUGA
rnacentral:sRNA from 1 species